rnacentral:lncRNA from 1 species
GGUUAAUUUAAUAAUUAAAAAAAUAUAAUAAUAUAUAAAUUGGGUGGAUAGAAAAUAAUUAUUAAUUAAAAGAAGGAAAAAAAUAAGGCUUACCUCUACAUCAUCAGCCCGAAAAGGCCCGCUGUUCAUUUUUUUAGAACAGGACCGCUGGAUUUCUUGUAAAAACUUACUUAUAAAAAUUAAAGAUGAACCUAUAAAAAGAAUAGGGAAGUUGUCACAAAGAGAGCGAAAACUUUGUUAAAGUCAUUGACAGCCUAUUUCCUCGUCGGUGCGCAAAAAAGCGUGAGACGAUCCGUUACAUCAUCGCACACAACAACAACAAACAAAAAAAAGCGCACCGUUACACCUCUGUAGGCCAUUGCCACAGUCCCAUCGGCGUUGACGGCGGCCAUGAUCCCAUAGCCUUGAGAACAAUCCCAAAUCCCGAACGUGAAAAAGUGUCAUGGCUGUCAUAGAACGGCAGCCAGCAAACGGGGAUGGCUUGUCCCACACAGCGGGUCUGACAGGAGAACCCCGUCCUCACGUCACCGUCACGUCCGUCCGAAACGAAUAACGUAAAACAUCGACCUAAUAGCCUAACUGAACGUUUGACCCGAGGAGAGAUUUUUUUUCUCGGCACGCACACUCUCUCUGUCUCUCUUGGCGAGAUAAAGUUGUUGGGUGUGCGUGCCCGCUGUGAACGGACGGAGAAGCUAGAUCAAGCAAACAAAGCGACAAAGCACAGGACAAGACCAAAACGCGUACGGAGCGAUUUCUUGCUUCACGCUCGACUAAAUUGCACACAGUCCAUCUCUUAAUCGCUCCAUUGUCUUAUUAACGAUUGUUUUCUUACCUGUUUAUCAUAUCAUUUCGGCAGUUUAACGCCACAGCUCUUUGUCCCAGGGUGUACAGUUGCCGUGCUCCACCGUCCCAGACCCUCAUGUAAAUUAGCGCGCUCUGGUGGUCACGUGACGUGAGAGGGUGAAUUUUUCCGGUUCCUCACGCAUUCAUGGCGCUAGUGUGCCUCGAGCUGUUUCCUGCCAAGCUAACCAAAGCUACUGGUUGUUAGUGAAACCAAGUUUUAUGUCACAGAAAUCAUCUCUGCGGGACCUUCUUGCUAUUUAUUCAAUUAAGCCCCGUUCACUGUCUUUGGAAAAAAAAAAACCUGUUCGAAUUGCUCUAUUUUAAAACGGAUCGGGAAACAAAAAAUUACUCGCGUACAAAACAAAAAACUGCAUUCCGUAUUUUUAAGAACAUCGCGUGAUUUUGCACAAGAAGAAAAAAUUUUAUCGUCAUUAUUAUUAUUAUUUUUAUUUUUAAUUCGUUUUUAAAAUCGAUUGAUUUAAUAAAUUAACGAGAUAUAAACGUUGAAAGACGAUGAUAUUAAAGUCAUAAAUUUUCCGGGUGACAUAUUUUACUCGGUCUAUUGUCAUCAUUAACUGAUGGCUAACAAACAUGACCUUGGGCUUGAACGCAUCCCUGUCCACGACACCCGGUGACACCAACCAAACGUGGCUUCCCAUUUUGUGUUUCGCGUUUCCUACUCGGUCACGAUAGCACCGAUUUUUAAUUACAAUUAAAGUUAAAUAUCGGUAUGAAAAUUAGUUUUUAAAUUUUCAUUAACAUUAAUUUCUUUAAUUAAAUUUUUUAGUUUCGGUUUCAACUACUAGAUGGCAAUAAUUAGAUCAUCUUUUUUUUUUUUUUUAAAGACCAUUGUUUGGAAAGGUUGUUGUCUAACCAUGAAAGAUGCUUGAAUUCUUGGGCUCCUUAGAGGAAGAAUUCAACCCGGGGCCAGUGAUGAGGCUUGAUCAGUCAGAGCUUUUGUGUCCCAACGUUUUAUUAAAGUAUAAAAGAGAGAAAGCUUCUGACAUAGACAUCAGAAGGGGGCAGAAAGAGUGCCCCCCUACUCAUCUUUGGCUGGAUGUUAUCUAGCUACUAGCAGUCUACUCAUUAGAGAAAGGAAUGGCAGCAGACCCCUCACCCACAAGAUAUAUGGAGAUGACCGUGGCACCAGGUGAGUCAUCCUGGGCCAUAAAACGAUUGAUAUGAGCAAAUGGAUAGCUUCAUUCACAUAGAUCAGGAGAGCCAUGUAUGAGUAAAGCAUAUUGGUUUGUCAAGUCAGUUCUGAGCCUUUAGGCAGAACCUACUUGAAGAUAGAGUCUAGGGUAAAUACAUAGUACAUUCACAUAGCUUAAGGCAAACCUUUCCAUGAGAAAAAUGCCUUGGUCAGCUCAAAGUAUGAGAAAAGUGAAGUUCAGGCAGAACCAGGUGUCAUUAUAGCAACACAGAAUUGUAAGAGAAAAUCUCUGUUUAAAUUUGUAUCAAGAAGGGGAAAAAAGAUAACAGCUUGUUUCCUCCUGCCUCGGAAGUGACAGAUAACAACUGUCUGACACUUGCACCCCAUUUCCUCCCUUUGGAGACCCCUGGCCUUCCUGGCUGUUACCCUCUCAGUUUCAUUCAUUGAGCGUUUUCUGCCUUGUGAAACAUUGGGCAUAGAAGUAUGUGUUUAUUUAGGGGUAUUUCAUCCAAUUUCAUUUAAAUGCAUAUGUGAAUUAGAAAGUUUGACAUGCUGUUGCUUUGUAUACCGAUUGGGAAAUGUGAGCCUCCAAGCUUAAUUUAGUUUUUCAUGUUCAUUUUUCUUUUUAGGGGUACAAAGAAAAAUAAUAUGACUGUUAAGAUCAGCUUUCGUAUUUUUUGCCAAAUAUGAAUUGGGAUCACAUCGAUCAGAGAUGAGUCUGUGCAUGAAAGCCCUAAUAACUAAUGCUAAUUGACUUCACUACCAUGGGAUGUUUUCAUAUCUAUUGAGGAUUUACUUCAUGUAUUUCGAUUUUAACUUUCUGUCUUACAGCCUUGUUUGUAGAUCAAAGCUAUUUGAAAUUGUCAUCUGGUUUCAAAUGGCUUGUGAGGUUAUUCAUGAGUGGCUUAUAAAACCGAAUGGAUUGUACGUAGCCAUACUUUGUUGUCAUUCUAUGAAUUUGAAGAAUGUCUGAAGAAUGUCUGCAGUUAUGCCUUAAAGAUUCAUACAAUUGAUGUCCAAUAUUUAUCUCAAUAGACUUGCUUUCAAUUUGUAGUUUCCUAUGCGUAUGUCUUUCUUUAUGGAUUUGGGUAGAACUUGUAUUGGAACACUGAAAAAUCUGUGAUAUCAACCGUGCUGACCUUUCUGGUGGUCAUCAUUAAGAUUUUCACGCUCUAUGGAUCCUAGUGGAAACAGGUGCUGUUCAUCCUACUUUUGUGAAGAUUGAACUCAUCGUAGAAAGUGGAAUUUGUUGAAAUAUUUAUGGUAUAAAUAAAUCUUGUCUCUAUAAUUACC